rnacentral:rRNA from 5 species
GGUUAAGCGACUAAGCGUACACGGUGGAUGCCCUGGCAGUCAGAGGCGAUGAAGGGCGUGCUAAUCUGCGAUAAGCGCCGGUAAGGUGAUAUGAACCGUUAUAACCGGCGAUACCCGAAUGGGGAAACCCAGUGUGACUCGUCACACUAUCAUUAACUGAAUCCAUAGGUUAAUGAGGCGAACCGGGGGAACUGAAACAUCUAAGUACCCCGAGGAAAAGAAAUCAACCGAGAUUCCCCCAGUAGCGGCGAGCGAACGGGGAGGAGCCCAGAGCCUGAAUCAGCAUGUGUGUUAGUGGAAGCGUCUGGAAAGGCGCGCGAUACAGGGUGACAGCCCCGUACACAAAAGCGCAUGUGCUGUGAGCUCGAUGAGUAGGGCGGGACACGUGGUAUCCUGUCUGAAUAUGGGGGGACCAUCCUCCAAGGCUAAAUACUCCUGACUGACCGAUAGUGAACCAGUACCGUGAGGGAAAGGCGAAAAGAACCCCGGCGAGGGGAGUGAAAAAGAACCUGAAACCGUGUACGUACAAGCAGUGGGAGCCCCACCACCAAAGCAUUCUCUGGUGUUGAAGGCCCUGCAAAGCAGCAUCGCGGUGGCGGAGCGUCGUUUGCGACGCCCAACACACAAAACAAGCGGUGAAUGCUUUGGGGUGGGGUGACUGCGUACCUUUUGUAUAAUGGGUCAGCGACUUAUAUUCUGUAGCAAGGUUAACCGAAUAGGGGAGCCGGAGGGAAACCGAGUCUUAAUUGGGCGUUAAGUUGCAGGGUAUAGACCCGAAACCCGGUGAUCUAGCCAUGGGCAGGUUGAAGGUUGGGUAACACUAACUGGAGGACCGAACCGACUAAUGUUGAAAAAUUAGCGGAUGACCUGUGGCUGGGGGUGAAAGGCCAAUCAAACCGGGAGAUAGCUGGUUCUCCCCGAAAGCUAUUUAGGUAGCGCCUCGUGAAUUCAUCUCCGGGGGUAGAGCACUGUUUCGGCUAGGGGGCCAUCCCGGCUUACCAACCCGAUGCAAACUGCGAAUACCGGAGAAUGUUAUCACGGGAGACACACGGCGGGUGCUAACGUCCGUCGUGAAGAGGGAAACAACCCAGACCGCCAGCUAAGGUCCCAAAGUCAUGGUUAAGUGGGAAACGAUGUGGGAAGGCCCAGACAGCCAGGAUGUUGGCUUAGAAGCAGCCAUCAUUUAAAGAAAGCGUAAUAGCUCACUGGUCGAGUCGGCCUGCGCGGAAGAUGUAACGGGGCUAAACCAUGCACCGAAGCUGCGGCAGCGACGCUGAUGCGUUGUUGGGUAGGGGAGCGUUCUGUAAGCCUGCGAAGGUGACCUGUGAGGGUUGCUGGAGGUAUCAGAAGUGCGAAUGCUGACAUAAGUAACGAUAAAGCGGGUGAAAAGCCCGCUCGCCGGAAGACCAAGGGUUCCUGUCCAACGUUAAUCGGGGCAGGGUGAGUCGACCCCUAAGGCGAGGCCGAAAGGCGUAGUCGAUGGGAAACGGGUUAAUAUUCCCGUACUUGGUGUUACUGCGAAGGGGGGACGGAGAAGGCUAUGUUGGCCGGGCGACGGUUGUCCCGGUUUAAGCGUGUAGGUGUGUGUUCCAGGUAAAUCCGGUUCACUUUAACACUGAGGCGUGAUGACGAGGCACUACGGUGCUGAAGCAACAAAUGCCCUGCUUCCAGGAAAAGCCUCUAAGCAUCAGGUAACAUCAAAUCGUACCCCAAACCGACACAGGUGGUCAGGUAGAGAAUACCAAGGCGCUUGAGAGAACUCGGGUGAAGGAACUAGGCAAAAUGGUGCCGUAACUUCGGGAGAAGGCACGCUGACACGUAGGUGAAGUGAUUUACUCACGGAGCUGAAGUCAGUCGAAGAUACCAGCUGGCUGCAACUGUUUAUUAAAAACACAGCACUGUGCAAACACGAAAGUGGACGUAUACGGUGUGACGCCUGCCCGGUGCCGGAAGGUUAAUUGAUGGGGUCAGCGCAAGCGAAGCUCCUGAUCGAAGCCCCGGUAAACGGCGGCCGUAACUAUAACGGUCCUAAGGUAGCGAAAUUCCUUGUCGGGUAAGUUCCGACCUGCACGAAUGGCGUAAUGAUGGCCAGGCUGUCUCCACCCGAGACUCAGUGAAAUUGAACUCGCUGUGAAGAUGCAGUGUACCCGCGGCAAGACGGAAAGACCCCGUGAACCUUUACUAUAGCUUGACACUGAACAUUGAGCCUUGAUGUGUAGGAUAGGUGGGAGGCUUUGAAGUGUGGACGCCAGUCUGCAUGGAGCCGACCUUGAAAUACCACCCUUUAAUGUUUGAUGUUCUAACGUGGACCCGUAAUCCGGGUUGCGGACAGUGUCUGGUGGGUAGUUUGACUGGGGCGGUCUCCUCCUAAAGAGUAACGGAGGAGCACGAAGGUUGGCUAAUCCUGGUCGGACAUCAGGAGGUUAGUGCAAUGGCAUAAGCCAGCUUGACUGCGAGCGUGACGGCGCGAGCAGGUGCGAAAGCAGGUCAUAGUGAUCCGGUGGUUCUGAAUGGAAGGGCCAUCGCUCAACGGAUAAAAGGUACUCCGGGGAUAACAGGCUGAUACCGCCCAAGAGUUCAUAUCGACGGCGGUGUUUGGCACCUCGAUGUCGGCUCAUCACAUCCUGGGGCUGAAGUAGGUCCCAAGGGUAUGGCUGUUCGCCAUUUAAAGUGGUACGCGAGCUGGGUUUAGAACGUCGUGAGACAGUUCGGUCCCUAUCUGCCGUGGGCGCUGGAGAACUGAGGGGGGCUGCUCCUAGUACGAGAGGACCGGAGUGGACGCAUCACUGGUGUUCGGGUUGUCAUGCCAAUGGCACUGCCCGGUAGCUAAAUGCGGAAGAGAUAAGUGCUGAAAGCAUCUAAGCACGAAACUUGCCCCGAGAUGAGUUCUCCCUGAGACUUUAGGUCUCCUGAAGGAACGUUGAAGACGACGACGUUGAUAGGCCGGGUGUGUAAGCGCAGCGAUGCGUUGAGCUAACCGGUACUAAUGAACCGUGAGGCUUAACCUU